AAGUGUUUCUAAUACAAAAGCCAAAGAGGCAGCUUUAAUUCCCAUUUACCCUUGAUGAAGACCUACUAUGGCUUCAUUGUCUGAGUGGAACUGACAAACCAUUUAUUAUACUCGGUUUUGUUCAAUAUUUGAGGAAACGCCAGUUGUAAACAGAGCUAAACAUUAGGUAAAGGCUCUCAUAAAGCUACUUUUCCUGUUUACAAGGGGAAACAUGGUUGGAAAUUAGAGACUGUCUGCUUUAAGAAGGUCUACAGAGAAGCCAGCUCCUUGCUUACGAAUGCCUCGUUGGUGCAGAGGACUCUGUCAUUUCUUCUUUCGUUGGUACCUUUCUCUGCGGCUUUAGAGUGUGCACAGUCGAAUCGACAGUUUCUCAGCUGUGUGUGUGUCCGCACAUGUGUGUGCCAGCACAUGCGUGUGAGUGGCUGUGGGCCCUGGGGUACUUUGCUUCAGUCAUGUUUUUCCAUAAAGGCAUAGGGUACCCAAUUUAGGGUCUGCAGUGCGGAGCUAUGUCCUGAAAUGUAGUCACAGCUUCGAGGGAUGCACCGCAAGUGUAAGAAGCUGACUUUCUGCGCCUUAAUUUCUUUAUUCAAAGUGAUGAUUGUAACAUAUGCUCACUCCCUAUGGAUGCAGUAUGUAUAGUGGGGCUUGAGCCCCCUGGGUAAGCACAAUUUCAUAAACGCAAAACACAGUUAUGACCUACUGACAACGUUUUUAAAAUGUUUACAUAUGGCUUGUGCAUUUUGAAACCAGCACUGUUUUCCUAUAGAUGUUUACUGAUUAUUUCUAUAUACUUGGUAAAGACUUCCCUUUUAGGUUAUGGUCUUAGAAUACUUCUGAAAUACCCAUUUACAUGUACAUUUGAAUGAAUCUGUUUGUAUGGCUGACACAGGCCUAUGCUUUGUCUUUUGUACAAAAUUAUUUUUAGAGUUGUAAAUCCAGAGGCCAAAGAUGUAGUUCUGUAGUAAGAGUUUUUGCUUGGUCCAUGUGGGGCCCUGAAUUUAAUCUCCAGUACUGCCAAAUAAUAAAAAAUAAAAUAAUUACACCUGU
rnacentral:lncRNA from 1 species